CCUGCGGGUGGCAGCAGUGAGGACUAUUGGUCAAUGGCCGCAGGGCUGAACCAGCCAAGUCGCGUGAGGGAUGACGGUCCUAUGGAUUGUAAACCUCUUUUGUCAGGGAACAAAGGCGGGGACUAGUCCCCGGAUGAGGGUACCUGAAGAAAAAGCAUCGGCUAACUCCGUGCCAGCAGCCGCGGUAAUACGGAGGAUGCGAGCGUUAUCCGGAUUUAUUGGGUUUAAAGGGUGGGCAGGCGGCCUGUUAAGUCAGCGGUAAAAGCCCGGGGCUAAACCCCGGCGAGCCGUUGAAACUGGCGGGCUGGAGUUGGAGAGAAGUACGCGGAAUGCGCGGUGUAGCGGUGAAAUGCUUAGAUAUCGCGCAGAACCCCGAUUGCGAAGGCAGCGUACCGGCUCCACACUGACGCUGAGGCACGAAAGCGUGGGUAUCGAACAGGAUUAGAUACCCCUGUAGUC
rnacentral:rRNA from 1 species